AUGAUGAAGAUACAGCCCGCUUGUUGGGAUGAAUGCCAGCAGGGGCUUCCCAGGGAUGCUUGGCAGCAUAGACACUCUUUCUUCGGCAUGGCCGAAUCGCACAAUGGUAUCAACGUGCUUCAACGCUCGCCGGUGUUUGCAAGGGUUGCCGGAGGCAACUGCUCGCCGGUGAAUGUUAACAUCAAUGACCACAACUACAACAAAGGGUACUGCCGAGCUGACGGUAUCUAUUCUCAGUGGACCACUAUUGUGAAGACAAUCCCAAACCUUGUCGGAGAGAAGAGGAGGAGAUUUGCCCAAUAG
rnacentral:rRNA from 1 species